AUGCAGUGGUUGGGCCGCUCGCUGGGUAAGGUAGCGAAGUUGGAUUUGGCUCACAUACCGGUCGGCGAAAUAGGUGGAGAUAUCGAGUCCGCGACGGCGACAGGGUGGUCCAGCAACCUCGCCGGGGCGGCGGCGACCAUGGAGUUCUUACUGCAGCCGAUAAACAGAGCGCUGCUUGAGGAGGUGAAUGAUAAUAAUGGGGCAAUGGAGCCCGUGCGGUUCCCAGUCGCCGCCCGGCGGAGCUUGAGGUUGCAGCCCCGGCAGGUUCAAGUGCGGACGGGCAGAUCUGUCGGGCUGAUGGAGCCGGCGCGGACAUGCCUCAGGGCUCCGAGCACUCGAUAG
rnacentral:rRNA from 1 species